rnacentral:rRNA from 1 species
CCUACGGGAGGCAGCAGUGAGGAAUAUUGGUCAAUGGGCGGGAGCCUGAACCAGCCAAGUCGCGUGAGGGAAGACGGUCCUAUGGAUUGUAAACCUCUUUAGGCGGGGAGCAAUGCCGGGCACGCGUGCCCGGAGGGAGAGUACCCGCAGAAUACGCAUCGGCUAACUCCGUGCCAGCAGCCGCGGUAGUACGGAUGAUGCGAGCGUUAUCCGGAUUGAUUGGGUUUGAAGGGUGCGUAGGCGGAUUUUUAAGUCAGCGAGAACAUGGACGGGCUCAACCCGGGCCGGCCGUUGAAACUGGGGAUCUUGAGUGUGCGAGAAGUAUGCGGAAUGCGUGGUGUAGCGGUGAAAUGCAUAGAUAUCACGCAGAACUCCGAUUGCGAAGGCAGCAUACCGGCGCCCGACUGACGCUGAGGCACGAAAGCGUGGGGAUCGAACAGGAUUAGAUACCCCGGUAGUC